rnacentral:rRNA from 1 species
AUUGAACGCUGGCGGCAGGCCUAACACAUGCAAGUCGAGCGGCUGACGGGAGCUUGCUCCCUGAUUCAGCGGCGGACGGGUGAGUAAUGCCUAGGAAUCUGCCUAUUAGUGGGGGACAACGUUUAGAAAGGAACGCUAAUACCGCAUACGUCCGACGGGAGAACGCAGGGGACCUACGGGCCGUGCGCUAAUGGAUGAGCCUAGGUCGGAUUAGCUUGUUGGUGAGGUAAUGGCUCACCAAGGCGACGAUCCGUAACUGGUCUGAGAGGAUGAUCAGUCACACUGGAACUGAGACACGGUCCAGACUCCUACGGGAGGCAGCAGUGGGGAAUAUUGGACAAUGGGCGAAAGCCUGAUCCAGCCAUGCCGCGUGUGUGAAGAAGGUCUUCGGAUUGUAAAGCACUUUAAGUUGGGAGGAAGGGUUGUAGAUUAAUACUCUGCAAUUUUGACGUUACCGACAGAAUAAGCACCGGCUAACUCUGUGCCAGCCGCCGCAGUAA